CAGAGACAUUGAGACAGAGACACUAAAAAUUACUCUUUAUGUAUUGUGUUUGGAUACAAUGGACAAGACACUGAUGUAAUGUCUAGUAUUCUGUUUGGAUACAUAUAAACAAGACUAAAAUAUAAUGUAAAAUUACUAAAAUAGGCCCAUCUAAUUUUAAUUUUUAUACCCACCUCUCACUGUCUCUGUCUCUGUGUUGCACUCCUUGGCUGCCACCCUAACUCUUCCUCUUCUCCACGACGUUGCCUGUUUCUUGCGCCGCUUCCAACUCGUUUUCCGUUAACAACACCUUCUUCCUCACCAAUGUCAAUUUUUCACUCUCUUUCUAUAUAUUCAUUUUGAUUGUCGUUUUUGCUUCUUCAAUUGUCGUUUUGUGUUUCUUGUUUCUUUCAGGAUGCGUUCGAGAGACACCACAUGGUCUUCAUGGUUGGGACUUCCAUUGCCUCCUUUGCCACUGUUUGGAUCGGUCUCUUCAUUUCUCAGUGCUUUCCAUUCAUAUCAUCUGAUUUGAUUAUUUGAUUGGGUUCAAUGAUGGUAAGAUUGGUUAAUUUCUUGUUUCAGGUAUUCAUUGCGCCAUUUCCAUGAUGAAAAGGUUGAACAAAGGCUUGAAUCAAUUGAAAAUGCUAUGAAACACAAGCAUAAUCUGGAACAUUCCGAAAUCAAAGACAUUGUUGGUCCUGGAGGUCUCAGUGUUCCUACUUGUGCCGCCAUUGCCGCUACCACCUUGAUCAUUGAGAUUGUUCCUUAUUUCUAGCACUUAAUACCUGUGAUCAUGCUUUCUGUGGCGAUUCUCCGAUGUAGCUAUUUAAGUCUUGUCAAUUUGAAUUCACAAUAGUCCUUUUUGGUUUUUAAUGAUACGGUUAUUCAUUGAAGAACAAAUGCACAAUGGUGCUGUAGGGUAUUGUAAAGUUAAUUUGUAAGCUGAACUAUCAUUGCUGUUAAGAUUUUGAAUAUAUUGAAAUUUAAAGGAUUUGUAGUUUACAAACUUCCUAUUUGAAUUGCUAUUGCUAUUGCUUAGUCAAAACUGUGUUUGAUACUGAAGAUGCUACAACUAGGAGUAUUGCUUUGAAUAAGCCAGCCUUUAAAAAAAAAAAAAACAGAAUAGCAAUACAGAUAUGACAAACCACAGUCGAAAUUUUGUACCAUUAUUUAAUAUUUAUUCAUAUUCCUCAUCCUUCAUGA